UGGGGAAUAUUGCACAAUGGGCGCAAGCCUGAUGCAGCCAUGCCGCGUGUGUGAAGAAGGCCUUCGGGUUGUAAAGCACUUUCAGCGAGGAGGAAGGGUAGUGUGUUAAUAGCACAUUGCAUUGACGUUACUCGCAGAAGAAGCACCGGCUAACUCCGUGCCAGCAGCCGCGGUAAUACGGAGGGUGCAAGCGUUAAUUGGAAUUACUGGGCGUAAAGCGCACGCAGGCGGUUUGUUAAGUCAGAUGUGAAAUCCCCGCGCUUAACGUGGGAACUGCAUUUGAAACUGGCAAGCUAGAGUCUUGUAGAGGGGGGUAGAAUUCCAGGUGUAGCGGUGAAAUGCGUAGAGAUCUGGAGGAAUACCGGUGGCGAAGGCGGCCCCCUGGACAAAGACUGACGCUCAGGUGCGAAAGCGUGGGGAGCAAACA
rnacentral:rRNA from 1 species